UAAAACAUAUGUUUUCAAUUAAUUUAUCAACAAUCGUACGAACAAGUUGUCUGCGGGCGGACGUCGUGCGUAUAUUGUUUUAUCAAAACGGCAAAGACAACAAGCAAUAAGCGCAGAUCAACGAUAAUCCACGAUCAGAGCCACAGAAAAAAUGGACCACGCCCAUCACAGUUCGCCCAACGUUGAUCAUUCCAUGCACCACGACCACGCUGGCAUGCACCACGACCACAGCGGGAUGGACAGCAUCAGCCCCACCACCACCACCAGCACCGAUCCCACGAGCCACGACAUGCAUGCGGGACACCAUCACAGCGGCGGCGGUGGGGGCACGGGCACUGGCAUGGAGCAUAUGAUGUCCAUGGCGUUCCACUUUGGCUACAACGAGACGAUCCUCUUCUCUUGGUGGCACAUCGAUACGGUGGCCGGUCUGAUUGGGUCGAUGAUCGCCAUCUUCCUGCUGGCCCUGCUGUACGAGGGGCUCAAGUACUACCGCGAGUAUCUGUUCUGGAAGACGUAUAACCUGCUCGAGUACCGCCCGGUGAAGGGUCCCCAGCACAAUCCGGAGGCACCGCACCUGCCCUCCGCAGCGGCGGCUGCCCCAUCCCCAGUACAAUACGUUGGCGAAGUUGUGCACAAGCAACCACCCUCGAUGCUUUCGGUCAACCAUCUGUACCAAACGCUGCUUCACAUCCUGCAGGUGACGCUCUCCUUCCUGCUCAUGCUGAUCUUCAUGACCUACAACGUCUGGCUUUGCCUGAUGGUGGUGCUGGGCGCGGCAGUGGGCUACUUCCUCUUCUGCUGGAAGAAGUCCGUCAUCGUGGAUGUGACUGAGCACUGUCACUAGCAGCGGACCAGCCCGGACCGGGGCAGUCUCCGGUGUCUCACUCAGGAGGAGGAGCUGCCCGCAAUCUAGAUGGAUGGAUGGAUGGUGCUAGGCUGGAAGGCCCGGAAGCUCUCACACAUGCACAUAAAGACACACUCACGCCCUACGCCCUGUCCUGCUCCUUGCUACUACUCUUUAGCCAGGGCUGGGCAACACAUUGUCCAAAACUGCCGCACUCUUACCCCUGGACUACUUUGAGGACAACUGUACAAUUUCCUAGAAACUCAAAAGAAAACUGAACAUUUAAUCAGCGCAUAGCCUUUCGAAGAGGAUUUAAAUGGAUGUAGGGUAAAGAUUAAGUUGAAAGUUGAAAAUUGAACAAAUUUUUCAGAACAAGAAUUUAGAGAGCAAAGUGAAAAAAACUGUAGAUACGCGCAAAAUCAAGGCAAUAAUUUGUACAGAACUCAUUCGAUAUUUUUUCGUAAAAAUAACAACAUACACAGAUAAUUCAUAAAGUUUCCAAUCCUGCGCCCCCAAACAAAUAUUUUUUAUCAAUCUUAUUAUUAUACCAUUUUGUAUGCAUAUUAUAUUAUUAUGAUCAAUC